GACCCUGGCUCAGGAUGAACGCUAGCGGCAGGCCUAACACAUGCAAGUCGAGGGGCAUCACGAGGUAGCAAUACUUUGGUGGCGACCGGCGCACGGGUGCGUAACGCGUAUGUAACCUACCUAUAACAGGGGCAUAACACUGAGAAAUUGGUACUAAUUCCCCAUAAUAUUCGGAGAGGCAUCUCUCCGGGUUGAAAACUCCGGUGGUUAUAGAUGGACAUGCGUUGUAUUAGCUAGUUGGUGAGG
rnacentral:rRNA from 1 species